GAAGGUGUAUCUCAGUGGUAAAGCCCAUUCUUAGCAUGUAUAAGGUCCUGGGUUCAAUCCCCAGUACCUCCA
rnacentral:tRNA from 1 species